rnacentral:lncRNA from 1 species
AUUUCGUUCAUUUUCAUUUCUCGCUCGCUGGGCACCUACGUCGAUGUCGUAGGUUUUAUAAUUAACAAUUAAUUUAAUAAUUAGUUUAAUAGACUUUCAACUUACUGAAAAUGAAGCUUCAAAGUCGCAUUACCACUACAUCCAGCUACAAUCAAGAAAUCAAAUCACAGAAAAUGGACAUUAAAGUGAGCUGAAAGAACAAAAAUGUACAGAAUGUAAAAUGGAUUCAUUGAGAAAAAACCAGCAAGACAAUACAGCAAAGAAUCUGACCCCAGAAGACAAUACACCUGAUUAAGAUCAUGAAGGCAUUCCAACUAUAUAUCUACAAGGGUCCUACCGGCUAAUUCGCUGAACAUCAGAGACUAAAAAUGAUUCAGAUAAAUCGAAGUUUAGCAUUUGGUAUUGGCUAAUUUUCGAUAUAGGUCAUGAAGAAAAAUUUUAAAUAUUUUGAGAAAAUAUUGACCAAAACCAGACAUUUAAAAAAUAAUCAUGAAAAAAAUACUUAUCUGGGAUAGCAAAUAAAAACUGGCGAAAUUAA